rnacentral:rRNA from 1 species
UACAGAGGUCUCAAGCGUUGUUCGGAUUCAUUGGGCGUAAAGGGUGCGUAGGUGGCGCGCUAAGUCAGGUGUGAAAUUUCGGAGCUUAACUCCGAAACUGCAUUUGAUACUGGCGUGCUUGAGGACUGGAGAGGAGACUGGAAUUCCUGGUGUAGCGGUGAAAUGCGCAGAUAUCAGGAGGAACACCGGUGGCGAAGGCGGGUCUCUGGGCCGAUACUGACGCUGAGGAGCGAAAGCGUGGGGAGCAAACAGG